GAUGAACGCUGGCGGCGUGCCUAAUACAUGCAAGUCGAGCGAACAGACGAGGAGCUUGCUCCUCUGACGUUAGCGGCGGACGGGUGAGUAACACGUGGAUAACCUACCUAUAAGACUGGGAUAACUUCGGGAAACCGGAGCUAAUACCGGAUAAUAUAUUGAACCGCAUGGUUCAAUAGUGAAAGACGGUUUUGCUGUCACUUAUAGAUGGAUCCGCGCCGCAUUAGCUAGUUGGUAAGGUAACGGCUUACCAAGGCAACAAUGCGUAGCCGACCUGCGGGGGUAGUCGCCCACAGUAGGACGGGUACGGCGUCAAGGCACGGCGGGGAGAAGAGGGUAGGAACUCUACCACGAGGGGAAAAGGUGUGAGGGAGAAACGUCGGGGGGGUGAUAAAGGUUGAGGUAUCGAAAAACUGUGUAUUAAGGGAAAAAAAAAUGUGAAAGUAACUCGGCACGUCUUGACGAUACAUAAUAAGAAAGCCAGGGCAAACUACGUG
rnacentral:rRNA from 1 species